AUGGCCACCGCGACCUCUACCUCCUGCAGGAUAGCGGGCACCGAGGUCCCCAUCACGGGCUCGGACAAGCUGCGGUGGAUCGACCUCACCGUCCCCUCACCCCCCUCCCCAGCGCCGGCGAGCCCCGCCGACCCAUUCGUCUCCGUGCCCCCGCGCGCCGCCUCGGGGUGCCACGUCGUGUUCUCCGGCCGCGACUCCCAACGCUACCUCGCCUGGAGGAUUCACGAAGAACACCAAAAUGUGCUAGAGGUCAUUGAACUCUGUGCUUUGAAGGAGUUCCCAAGCUCUGGACUGCGUUUGGUAUUCCAGGAGGCGCUAUGUCCAUUUGCUUUUAUGUGUGAAAGUGAGGGUGCCAGGCGAGGCGAGUCUGUAUAUCUGCUAUAUGUGCUCACUAUUUCUGGAGUUGCCAUUCUGUGCAACUUGCGCAGCCCAUUUUCCUAUGUAUCUGGUUCAAUACUGUCUCAAAAUGACGUAGUUGGAUUUAAUCUUCAAACCCACACACAGAGUGCUAAGGUUACAGCUGUUAAAGCGAAGCCAGGAUGUCUAGUAAUUGGGCGGCAAGAUGGGUCAAUCUGCUGUUACAGUCUUGGCAAAUUAGCUCCUAGUUCACCAGGUUUCUCUAAUGAGCUCCGUGAUGAUGCUGGAAUCGGGCGUUUGUGGACUCUCAUGUCGAGAACAAAGGCUCUGGGGCCUGUACAAGAUAUUGACACAGCUACUGUAAAUGAAAGGGAGCUGUUAUUUGUUCUUCAUCUGGAUGGAAGUUUGCGUGUCUGGGAUAUUUCUAGUCAGACGAAACUUGUUAAUUAUAAUGUUCACUUGGAUGAUUUUGAAGGGCAACCCUCUAGGCUAUGGGUUGGUGAGGCUGAUGAUGAUCAAGAACUGAUAUCCUUGGCUGUUCUGCACCAAGGGACUGCGGUUCCAGCUUGUGAUCAUAUUGCUAUAUAUGCCUUCAGUUUUGGUGCUGGCGAAAGAUUCUUGUUGUCUCCUGAACCUUCGGUUUCUGCCGUACCUUUGAUAGAGGGAAAGAUCGUUGAUUUGAAAAUAAGCACGGAAAAGCUUUGGAUACUUAAAGAAGUUGGACCAAUGCUCUAUGAAAUAGUGCAGUAUAACUCUGAUAGCGAGGAAAUAUGUUCAUAUGUGCUACAAGAAGACGCUAUCAGUGAGCAAAUGUUCCAAAGUUCUGAGAGUGCAUUGGACGAUUUGGUUUGGACUGCUGAUUCAGUAUUCUCAUCUAUGAAGGAGCAUAGUUUCAGUUUUAUCUCAUCCAUGUUUCUGCGGAGGCUGCUGCAACCAGGAGUGAACCACUGUUCUGCUCUCCGUGAAACCUUAUUGGAGUACAAAAGGUUUCUAUCCGAUUCUGAGUUUCAGUCGCUUACAACUAGUGGGCUGCGGAAAGAAAUAUUAUCCAUUAUAGAACAAGAGGGAAGUUCUCAGGUCGCAAGUUCUACUGUUUAUCACUGGAAAAAGUUUUCUGCACGGUAUCUCCACAACUGGUGCUGGAAUAAUAGGCCAUAUGGGUUGCUUCUUGAUACGAACAGUGAAGUGUUUGGUUUAAUUAGAAAGGGUUCAUUUUCUCUCUUCCGUUGUUUGGAGGGUGUGGAGCAACUUAUUUAUGGUUCCUCUGAUGACUUGGGAAAUCUCAUUGGCCUCGGGAUGAACUUAUCGAAUGAUACUGACGGUGAAACCCUUAUUGAAGUUCUCAGGUGCAUGGGCCAUAUAAACCAUUUGCUUGGGAGAUCUUCUGCUGCAAUAUAUUACGAGUCCCUCAUCAGUUCUGUUACAUCACCAGAUGAAGUUACUUCUCAGAUAUUAAAGAUUCUAGAGAGUGGGUUCAGUCCUCAAUCUUCGUCGCCCCUCAUUACAUUGCUUGGAACAGAUGCUUAUGUAGAAAGAAGGCAGAUGGCUCACAAAAGCCAAAGGAAGUUUUCUGUUGAGAUGCUACUAUCUUUCCAUAAGUUGCAAUCAAGAUCCACAUCCUGGUCGGCAGUAUUUGAUGUGAUUGAUAAGUUCAUGAAGUGUUUGGAUACAAAGGUCACUAUACAAGAGUUUGAAUUGAGAAGACUUUAUAAUGUAAAUUCUGCCUUAGUGGUUCAGGCUACUUCACAGGUUGCAAGAACCAUGUUUGAGGCUGCUUUUGAUCUAUUUCUGUUCCUCAGUUAUUUGGUUGGUGUCGGUGGGCAGGUCUCCUUGCUGCAAAGCGAUGUUGCUAGAAUCAAACUGCAGUUGUUUCCAAUGAUUCAAGACAUACUGGGACAGUGGAUCGUUCUCCAUUUUGUGGGAAUUUCACCAACCACACCACCAACCAUCGAGGAUUUCAGCUAUCAACUUUCUUCCCUCCAGCUAGGUAUAGCCGAUGAGCGGUCUUUGCACAGAAAGCUUGGAUCCUCUGAUUUUACAUUGGCUUGUUUGCUUGAUUUUCCUAAAUCUGCGGAAGGGGAUGAUCUGUCACCUUGUUUUCCUAGUCCAACCGAGGUAAUCAACUUGGUCAGGAGGUUUAGCAGUUCGAUUAUGUGCAGAAAUAGUGUUGACUGUGUAGACAGCUUCUUGGGUUCCACAAUAAAUCUGGCAGCAGUUUUCAUCCGACAUGGUCAAUAUGAAGCUGCUCAGAAUCUGCUGGGCAUUCUUGAAACAUACUUGGGCUAUGCGAGAGCAUCCCAAACUGAUCAGGAUACUGAUAUUGCAUGUUUGGCUCGCCUACAUCUCAGUGGAUUUUGCCUUUUGAUGCUCGCACAUGAUGAAGCAAACAUUGUUUUGAGAGAAUCCAAGGUUCAGGAAGCUAUCAGAUGCUUCUUUAGAGCUGCAUCUGGGCAAGAAGCUCCGAAGGCGCUGAAGAAGUUCUCUUCUGAAACAGGGUUUCAAAUUUCUGGGGAGUGUAGAUCUAUUUCUUUAUGGAGGCUUCAUUACUACGAGUGGGCAAUGCAAAUUUUUGAGCAAAACUCAAUGAGGGAGGGAGCAUGCCAGUUUGCUCUCGCUGCUCUUGAACAAGUUGAUAGCAUUGAUUUGGACAAUGGAAAUGAAGCCGAGGAUCUCCCAGAGACUACAGCGAUGAUUAAAGGACGACUAUGGGCCAAUGUAUUCAAGUACAGCUUGGAUUUGAAAAACUUUCGAGAUGCGUAUUGUGCUAUAAUCUCAAAUCCAGAUGAUGAUAGCAAGUAUGUCUGCUUGAGGCGUUUCAUCAUAGUUCUUUGUGAGCUUGGCGAGACUAAGGUCAUUUGCAAUGGUGAGAUACCAUUCACUGGUUUGGUGGAAAAGGUGGAGCAAGAGCUCUUCUGGAAGGCUGAGCGCUCAGAUCUAUCUUCUAAACCAAAUCUAUACAAAGUCCUUUAUUCAUUUGAAGCUUAUAGGAACAAUUGGAGGAAGGCAGCUGGAUGCAUGUACAGGUAUUUUGUUAGAUUGAGUAGAGAGGGGGAAGCAGGUGGAGGCCGCCAACUCACUCAUGUAUUACAAGAGAAGUUGCAUGCUUUGUCUACUGCUAUCAACUCGUUGCAGCUUGUUGAACCCUCAUGUGCCUGGCUCGAUUCGGUUUGUGAAGCUGAUGAUCAAAUUUCGCCAAGCAAAAAGCCUCGUAAUCUUUUGAUGGAGAACUCUGCUUUUGGCACAGAUUCAGAACUCUCUACAUUGCAGUUUUGUGUUGACAUUGAAAUUCUUGAAAAGGAAUACACACUAACAGAAGCACUUUAUAUGCUUAGUACUGUAAAUUCUAAAUCCAAAAUUUCUGAAAGCUAUUCUAUUGAAGCCUUGACUGACAUUCUUGUAAAUGAGAAUUUGUAUGACCUGGCAUUCACCAUCGUACUGAAAUUUUGGAAGGAGUCAGGAAUGAAAAGAGAAUUGGAGCGUGUCUUUGCAGCUAUUGCACAGCAAUGCUGCCCAAACAGAGUAGGCAGCUCAGGGAGAAAUUUGACUGACACUCAACAGCUGCUACUUCUGCCUUCUUCCGAGGAUGAUGGAUGGGAUGGCAAUAGCAAGACUAUUGCUGUGGCCCAUCAAGUGCAGGGAAGUUGCCAGUGGGAAACUCUUGAACUAUAUUUGGAUAAAUAUAAAGAUUUGCAUCCAAGGCUGCCUGUCAUUGUUGCUGAAACACUUCUUUACACUGAUCCUGAGAUUGAGCUACCUCUUUGGCUGGUUCAGAUGUUCAAGACCACCAAGGGUGGAAAUAGGAUGAUUUCAUGGGGAAUGUCUGGCAAAGAGGCAGAUCCAGCUGCAUUAUUUCGACUAUAUACAAAUUAUGGCCGGCACACAGAAGCAGCCAACUUGUUGGUGGAGCACCUCGAUUCUUUUGCUUCAUCGAGACCGAUGGACGUGCUGCACCGCAAAAAGAUGUCGGCCGCCUGGUUCCCGUACACCACUGUCGAGAGGUUUUGGUGUCAGCUUGAAGAGAUGCAAAGUGCUGGCCACAGUGCUGAUCAGUGUGAUAGGCUCAAGAAGUUGCUGCAUGGAGCCCUGAUGAACCACCUGCAGCAAGUUGUCGUCGAUUCAGAAGACGUACUGUCAUCAGUUGGAGGAGGUCAAGGAGUGGAGAGCCAAAGCAGCUGA
rnacentral:rRNA from 1 species